GACGAACGCUGGCGGCGUGCUUAACACAUGCAAGUCGAACGGAAAGGCCCUGCUUGCAGGGUACUCGAGUGGCGAACGGGUGAGUAACACGUGGGUGAUCUGCCCUGCACUUCGGGAUAAGCCUGGGAAACUGGGUCUAAUACCGGAUAGGAGCCAUUUUUAGUGUGAUGGUUGGAAAGUUUUUUCGGUGUAGGAUGAGCUCGCGGCCUAUCAGCUUGUUGGUGGGGUAAUGGCCUACCAGGGCGGCGACGGGUAGCCGGCCUGAGAGGGUGGACGGCCACAUUGGGACUGAGAUACGGCCCAGACUCCUACGGGAGGCAGCAGUGGGGAAUAUUGCACAAUGGGCGCAAGCCUGAUGCAGCGACGCCGCGUGGGGGAUGACGGCCUUCGGGUUGUAAACUCCUUUCGCUAGGGACGAAGCUUUUUGUGACGGUACCUAGAUAAGAAGCACCGGCUAACUACGUG
rnacentral:rRNA from 1 species